GUCUCCGUGGUCUAGUGGUUGGCCGUUGGGCUCCCGAUCCGGAAGCUCCGGGUUCGAAUCCCGGUGGGGACA